CCUACGGGAGGCAGCAGUGAGGAAUAUUGGACAAUGGGCGCAAGCCUGAUCCAGCCAUGCCGCGUGCAGGAAGACGGUCCUAUGGAUUGUAAACUGCUUUUAUACAGGAAGAAACACCUCUACGUGUAGAGACUUGACGGUACUGUAUGAAUAAGCAUCGGCUAACUCCGUGCCAGCAGCCGCGGUAAUACGGAGGAUGCAAGCGUUAUCCGGAAUCAUUGGGUUUAAAGGGUCCGUAGGCGGUUUAAUAAGUCAGUGGUGAAAGCCCAUCGCUCAACGAUGGAACGGCCAUUGAUACUGUUAAACUUGAAUUAUUAGGAAGUAACUAGAAUAUGUAGUGUAGCGGUGAAAUGCUUAGAGAUUACAUGGAAUACCAAUUGCGAAGGCAGGUUACUACUAAUAUAUUGACGCUGAUGGACGAAAGCGUGGGGAGCGAACAGGAUUAGAUACCCUGGUAGUCCACGCCGUUAAACGAUGGAUACUAGNUGUGUGNAUNUGNGUGNGUAGAGAAGAGAGUAAGUAUACCACCGCGGGAGGUACGGUUCGUCGAAGAAGAGAAACGUAACGAAAGUAAGUAAGUAGGUACGGUAGAGAGAGCGACGACGGACGACGACGGAGGGAGGAGG
rnacentral:rRNA from 1 species